rnacentral:rRNA from 1 species
CCUACGGGAGGCAGCAGUGGGGAAUAUUGGACAAUGGGCGCAAGCCUGAUCCAGCAAUGCCGCGUGUGUGAAGAAGGCCUGCGGGUUGUAAAGCACUUUCAGUGGAGAAGAAAAGCUUACGGUUAAUACCCGUGAGUCUUGACGUGACCCACAGAAGAAGCACCGGCUAACUCCGUGCCAGCAGCCGCGGU